GGCACGCCUAACACAUGCAAGUCGAACGAAGUAGCAAUACUUAGUGGCAGACGGGUGAGUAACAUGUAGGUAUCUGCCCUUUGGCCUGGAAUAACACGAGGAAACUUGUGCUAAUACCGGAUAAGUCUUUACGGAGAAAGCUUUAUGCACCAUUGGAUGAGCCUGCACUUGAUUAGUUUGUUGGUAGGGUAAUGGCCUACCAAGACUGUGAUCAAUAGCUGAUUUGAGAGGAUGAUCAGCCACAUUGGGACUGAGACACGGCCCAAACUCCUACGGGAGGCAGCAGUGGGGAAUCUUGCACAAUGGAGGAAACUCUGAUGCAGCGAUGCCGCGUGAGUGAAGAAGGCCUUUGGGUUGUAAAGCUCUUUCGUCGGGGAAGAAAAUGACUGUACCCGAAUAAGAAGGUCCGGC
rnacentral:rRNA from 1 species